rnacentral:rRNA from 1 species
GAUUAUCUUAGAAUGAGCGAAAGACUGAUCAAGACAUGCCGCGUGUGUGAAGAAGUUCUUCGUAUUGUAAAGCACCAUAUGUGGGGAGGAUGGGCUGUAAGCGAAUAAAUCGAUAUAUUGACGCAACCGAACGAAUACACACCGGCUACUCGUGUGCCAGCACCCGCGGUAAUACAGUGGGAGCCAGCGUUAAUCGGCAGUACUGGGCGUAAAGCACGCGUAGGUGGUUCGUUAAGUAUGUUUUGAGAUCCCCGGGCUCGACCUGGGAACUGCAUCCAAAAAUGGCGCGCUAGAGUAUGGCAGAGGGUGGUGGAAUUUCCUGUGUAGCGGUGAAAUGCGUAGUUAUAGGAAGGAACACCAGUGGCGAAGGCGACCGCCUGGGCUCAUACUGACACUGAGGUGCGAAAGCGUGGUGAGCAAACA